CGUAGGGGGCAAGCGUUGUCCGGAUUUAUUGGGCGUAAAGCGCUCGCAGGUGGUCCGUUGCGUCGUGCGUGAAAGACCCCGGCUCAACUGGGGGGUGUCGUGCGAUACGGGCGGACUGGAGGCCAGUAGGGGGAUGCGGAAUUCCGGGUGUAGUGGUGGAAUGCGUAGAGAUCCGGAGGAACACCAGCGGCGAAGGCGGCAUCCUGGACUGGUCCUGACACUCAGGAGCGAAAGCGUGGGGAGCGAUCCGGAUUAGAUACCCGGGUAGUCCACGCUGUAAACGAUGAGCACUAGGUGUCGGGGGUAUCGACCCCCUCGGUGCCGCAGCUAACGCGAUAAGUGCUCCGCCUGGGGACUACGGCCGCAAGGCUA
rnacentral:rRNA from 1 species